UACGAAGGGUGCAAGCGUUAAUCGGAAUUACUGGGCGUAAAGCGCGCGUAGGUGGUUCAGCAAGUUGGAUGUGAAAGCCCUGGGCUCAACCUGGGAACUGCAUCCAAAACUACUGAGCUAGAGUACGGUAGAGGGUAGUGGAAUUUCCUGUGUAGCGGUGAAAUGCGUAGAUAUCGGAAGGAACAUCAGUGGCGAAAGCGACUUCCUGGACCAGUACCGACGUUCAGGCACGAAAGCGUGGGGAGCAAACAGG
rnacentral:rRNA from 1 species